rnacentral:rRNA from 1 species
GACGAACGCUGGCGGCGUGCUUAACACAUGCAAGUCGAACGGAAAGGCCCUGCUUUUGUGGGGUGCUCGAGUGGCGAACGGGUGAGUAACACGUGAGUAACCUGCCCUUGACUUUGGGAUAACUUCAGGAAACUGGGGCUAAUACCGGAUAGGAGCUCCUGCUGCAUGGUGGGGGUUGGAAAGUUUCGGCGGUUGGGGAUGGACUCGCGGCUUAUCAGCUUGUUGGUGGGGUAGUGGCUUACCAAGGCUUUGACGGGUAGCCGGCCUGAGAGGGUGACCGGCCACAUUGGGACUGGGAUACGGCCCAGACUCCUACGGGAGGCAGCGGUGGGGAAUAUUGCACAGUGGGCGGAAGCCUGAUGCAGCAACGCCGCGUGCGGGAAGACGGCCUUCGGGUUGUAAACCGCUUUCGCCUGUGACGAAGCGUGAGUGACGGUAAUGGGUAAAGAAGCACCGGCUAACUACGUG